rnacentral:lncRNA from 10 species
AUGGUGGUGCGCGCUUCUAAUCCCAGCUACUCGGGAGGCUGAAGCACAAGAAUCACUUGAACCUGGGAAGCAGAGGUUGCAGUGAGCUGAGAUCACGCCACCACUCUUCAGCCUGAGCGACAGAGUGAGACUUUGUCUCAAAAAAAAAAAAAAAAAAAAAAAAAUUACCAAAAUGGAAAAUUCAAUAGAAGGGCUGGAAAAUAAAUCUCCCAGAACACAAGGCAAAAUAUGAAAAGACAAAGAGGAUGAUGAGCCCAGUCUAGGUCUAACACCCUAAUAACAGGCAUUCCAGUGAGUAAACAAACCUGGAAAGCUGUUCCUGAUGGUGAUAAAAGAAGUGGCAGUCGAGUGCAGUGGCUUAUCCCUGUAAUCACAGCACUUUGGGAAGCUGAGGCAGGAGGAUCAAGGCCAGGAGUUCGAGGCUGCAGUGAACCAUGAUCACACCACUGCACUCCAGCCUGGGUGACAGACAAGAGCUUGUCAAAAACAAUAAAAAAAUAAAAAGAGCUGGGCACUAUGGCUCAUAUCUGUAAUCCUGGAACUUUGGAAGGCCAAAGUGGGGGGAUCGCUUGAGCCCAGGAGUUGGAGAACAGCCUGGGCAACACAGUGAGACCCUCCCACCCACCACAAAAAAUAAAAAAAUUAGGGCCGGGCACAGUGACUCA